AUGCGAUGCUGGCCUGGGCCUCUGGGCUACCCGGAUCUCUGUGGGUCGGGGAAGGGGCCGCGGGUGUGGACAGCUCCAGUAUCUACCGUCGCUGGCAGCAGCGGCUCACUCUCGGGCGGUGACCUUGGGCCGAGGUCGGCCGCCUGUUCCGUGUGGACCUGGGCUGCUCGGGGCCGGGCCGCCGCGCUCAGGUGCAGCCCCCGUGACGGUGGUCGGCUGGGGGCCCGGGGAGCGGCAGGCGGUGGUCCAGGCGGUCCAGGCGGUCCAGGUGCCCAACGCAGAGCAGAGGGACCCCGGAGGGGGGGCGCGAUAGGGGAGGGACCUCGAGGUCAAGGCCGGGUCAGACGGCGGCUCAGGGGUGCGAGCUCCCCCCGGGGCCCAGGGUCGGACGGGAUCCCCGCGGGGGGGUGGGCAGCCCCCCCCCCCCCCCGCUGGGCCAGCUGCGCGCCGGGGCGGGCCGGGCGGCGUGGACCACCUGCCGGUGAAGAUCCUGCAGCCGGGCAAGGCGGACAAGGAGAGCUUCGAGAAGCUGUACCAGGUGGGCGCCGUGCUGGGCAGCGGCGGCUUCGGCACCGUGUACGCGGGCACUCGCAUCGCCGACGGGCUCCCGGUGGCGGUGAAGCACGUGGUGAAGGAGCGGGUGACCGAGUGGGGCAGCAUCGGCGGCGCGGCCGUGCCCCUCGAGGUGGUGCUGCUGCGCAAGGUGGGCGCGGCGGGCGGCGCGCGCGGCGUCAUCCGCCUGCUGGACUGGUUCGAGCGGCCCGACGGCUUCCUGCUGGUGCUCGAGCGGCCCGAGCCGGCCCAGGACCUGUUCGACUUCAUCACGGAGCGCGGCGCCCUGGACUAGCCGCUGGUGCGACGCUUCUUCGCGCAGGUGCUGGCGGCCGUGCGCUCCUGCCACAGCUGCGGAGAGGAGCACCAUUACAUCGAGACUACAACGUGCUGUUAUGACCUGCACUCUGUGUAGCUGAUGCAUCUUGUGUGCGGAUCGGGC
rnacentral:lncRNA from 12 species